rnacentral:tRNA from 1 species
GGACGGGUGGCAGAGUGGUCGAUCGCGGCGGUCUUGAAAACCGCUGAACCGCAAGGUUCCGUGGGUUCGAAUCCCACCCCGUCCG